UGGGGAAUUUUGGACAAUGGGCGCAAGCCUGAUCCAGCCAUGCCGCGUGCGGGAAGAAGGCCUUCGGGUUGUAAACCGCUUUUGUCAGGGAAGAAAUCUUCUGAGUUAAUACCUCGGGAGGAUGACGGUACCUGAAGAAUAAGCACCGGCUAACUACGUGCCAGCAGCCGCGGUAAUACGUAGGGUGCAAGCGUUAAUCGGAAUUACUGGGCGUAAAGCGUGCGCAGGCGGUUUUGUAAGACAGAGGUGAAAUCCCCGGGCUCAACCUGGGAACUGCCUUUGUGACUGCAAGGCUUGAGUGCGGCAGAGGGGGGAUGGAAUUCCGCGUGUAGCAGUGAAAUGCGUAGAUAUGCGGAGGAACACCGAUGGCGAAGGCAAUCCCCUGGGCCUGCACUGACGCUCAUGCACGAAAGCGUGGGGAGCAAACAGGAUUAGAUACCCUGGUAGUCCACGCCCUAAACAAUGUCAACUGGUUGUUGGGAAGGUUCCUUCUCAGUAACGUAGCUAACGCGUGAAGUUGACCGCCUGGGGAGUACGGCCGCAAGGUUGAAACUCAAAUGAAUUGACGGGGUCAUAGCUGUUUCCUG
rnacentral:rRNA from 1 species